rnacentral:rRNA from 1 species
GACGAACGCUGGCGGCGUGCCUAAUACAUGCAAGUAGAACGCAGUUUCGCACGGGUGAGUAACGCGUAGGUAACUUCCUCAUAGCGGGGGAUCACUAUUGGAAACGAUAGCUAAUACCGCAUACUUUGAGCUGGACCUGCGUUGUAUUAGCUAGUUGGUGAGGUAAAGGGUCACCAAGGCGACGAUACAUAGGCGACCUGAGAGGGUGAUCGGCCACACGGGGACUGAGAAACGGCCCAGAAUCCAACGGGGGGCAGCAGGAGGGAAUCUUCUGCAAUGGAAGGAAGUCUGACUGAGCAACGCCGGGUGAGUGAAGAAGGGUUUCGGAGAGUAAAGCUCUGUUGUUAGAGAAGCGGUAACUAAACAGAAAGGGACGGCUAACUACGUGCCAGCAGCCGCGGUAAUUC